rnacentral:rRNA from 1 species
ACUCCUACGGGAGGCAGCAGUAGGGAAUAUUGGGCAAUGGUCGGAAGACUGACCCAGCCAUGCCGCGUGCAGGAAGACGGCCUAUUGGUUGUAAACUGCUUUUAUCUGGGAAGAAAAGGGCCAUGCGUGGCAAAUUGCCGGUACCAGAUGAAUAAGCACCGGCUAACUCCGUGCCAGCAGCCGCGGUAAUACGGAGGGGUGCAAGCGUUGUCCGGAUUUAUUGGGUUUAAAGGGUGCGUAGGCGGCUGAUUAAGUCAGCGGUGAAAGACUCCGGCUCAACCGGAGCAGUGCCGUUGAUACUGGUUAGCUUGAGUGCUGCAGGGGUACAUGGAAUUGAUGGUGUAGCGGUGAAAUGCAUAGAUACCAUCAGGAACACCGAUAGCGAAGGCAUUGUACUGGGCAGCAACUGACGCUGAGGCACGAAAGCGUGGGGAUCGAACAGGAUUAGAUACCCUGGUAGGAUAGCG